CUGAAUAUGGUUCUGGAUAUGAGAAGCCAAGUGAGUACAGUUCGGGUUAUGGGAGGAAUCCCGAAUCUGAAUACGGAUCUGGGUACAAGAAGUCCAGCGAACAUGAAGAGAGGACUGAGACGGGGUACGGAUCCGGGCAUGGGAGGAGGCCAGGGUCCGAAUAUGAAGAAGGUGGGUCGGAGCAUGUGUCUGGGUAUGGCAGGAAGCAGAGUUACGAGGAAGAGGGAGAAGGGUAUGGAGGAAGGAGCCAACAUGAGAAGCCAAGUAGUGGAGACGAUUCACCUAAGAGGGUUAGCUAUGAAGGAGCCAACAUGAGGAGGCCAGGGUCCGGGUCCGAAUAUGAAGAAGGUGGGUCGGAGCAUGUGUCUGGGUAUGGCAGGAAGCAGAGUUACGAGGAAGAGGGAGAAGGGUAUGGAGGAAGGAGCCAACAUGAGAAGCCAAGUAGUGGAGAUGAUUCACCUAAGAGGGUUAGCUAUGAAGGAGCCAACAUGAGGAGGCCAGGGUCCGGGUCCGAAUAUGAAGAAGGUGGGUCGGAGCAUGUGUCUGGGUAUGGCAGGAAGCAGAGUUACGAGGAAGAGGGAGAAGGGUAUGGAGGAAGGAGCCAACAUGAGAAGCCAAGUUAUGGAGAUGAUUCACCUAAGAGGGUUAGCCAUGAAGGAGGAGAUUAUGAGAGGCCUUCUUAUGGGAGUCGCCGCAGUGAUGACGACGACGAGGAUCGUAAUAAGUAUCGGGAUGGUGAUGAAGAGGGCUAUGGACGCGGGAAAUAUGUAAGCUUUUUUUUCUCAAAAUUUCGAACUUCCUUACUUUUUAUGCUGAUCCAAAUGAUGUUUAAAAUGCCUCAUUUAGGACAUGUUUCAUGCAUUUGCAUUUUGAGAGUACAGACAUGAUGCUUUCUGUGUCUGAAGCAACCCACUUAUAAUUGCAAGAUCACUUGGUAUAGAUUUGAUUUGGUUCUGAAAAAAAUUACGAGAAAGAAAUGAAUAGGAAGACCAUUGCACUUGACUUGUGUCCCAUAGGUAGGUAUGAUUAUUCCCUUAAGUAGGCAUUUUUGCAUUAGUUCAUUGGAUUAUUUUUAAUGAAAUCAAGGUAAAGAUAAGAAGAAGAUCGACCUUCAAAUGGGGGGCCUGAUGUGAAAAACACUUGAUUACCAAUUAAAGUAAUAUAACAAAUGGACGUGGUUUCUUGUGGGCUCUGGAAUUCUAUAUUUUCUUAGUUAUUCGUCAGGAAAACUUAGGAGGUGCUUAGUAGUGUAUGCACAUCCUACAAAUGCACCAAGGAGAUUCUCUUCUGUUUUUGUUUGUUACAGCUCGACUAGAUGUUCCAGUUAUAAGUAGGUGCAAUAGAACUUUAUUUUGUUUAUAAUUCAUCAGAAAAAUUAAGGAGGUGCUCAGUCAGGGACAUCCUCU
rnacentral:lncRNA from 1 species